GGUAAGGUGAUAUGAACCGUUAUAACCGGCGAUUUCCGAAUGGGGAAACCCAGUGUGUUUCGACACACUAUCAUUAACUGAAUCCAUAGGUUAAUGAGGCGAACCGGGGGAACUGAAACAUCUAAGUACCCCGAGGAAAAGAAAUCAACCGAGAUUCCCCCAGUAGCGGCGAGCGAACGGGGAGGAGCCCAGAGCCUGAAUCAGUGUGUGUGUUAGUGGAAGCGUCUGGAAAGGCGCGCGAUACAGGGUGACAGCCCCGUACACAAAAAUACACAUAUUGUGAGCUCGAUGAGUAGGGCGGGACACGUGGUAUCCUGUCUGAAUAUGGGGGGACCAUCCUCCAAGGCUAAAUACUCCUGACUGACCGAUAGUGAACCAGUACCGUGAGGGAAAGGCGAAAAGAACCCCGGCGAGGGGAGUGAAAAAGAACCUGAAACCGUGUACGUACAAGCAGUGGGAGCACGCUUAGGCGUGUGACUGCGUACCUUUUG
rnacentral:rRNA from 1 species